GAAGGCACAUCUCUGGCCCGUAACUGACGCUGAGGAGCGAAAGCGUGGGGAGCGAACAGGAUUAGAUACCCUGGUAGUCCACGCCGUAAACGGUGGGGGGUUAGCUGUGGGCCACAUUCCACGUGGUCCGUGACGAAGUUAACACAUUAAGCACCCCGCCUGGGGAGUACGGCCGCAAGGCUAAAACUCAAAGGAAUUGACGGGGGCCCGCACAAGCGGCGGAGCAUGCGGAUUAAUUCGAUGCAACGCGAAGAACCUUACCAAGGCUUGACAUAUAGAGGAAAAGUGCAGAAAUGUACUCCCCGCAAGGUCUCUAUACAGGUGGUGCAUGGUUGUCGUCAGCUCGUGUCGUGAGAUGUUGGGUUAAGUCCCGCAACGAGCGCAACCCUCGUCCUAUGUUGCCAGCACGUAAUGGUGGGAACUCAUGGGAUACUGCCGGGGUCAACUCGGAGGAAGGUGGGGAUGACGUCAAAUCAUCAUGCCCCUUAUGUCUUGGGCUUCACGCAUGCUACAAUGGCCGGUACAGAGGGCUGCAAUACCGUAAGGUGGAGCGAGUCCCAAAAAGCCGGUCUCAGUUCGGAUUGAGGUCUGCAACUCGACCUCAUGAAGUCGGAGUCGCUAGUAAUCGUAGAUCAGCAACGCUACGGUGAAUACGUUCCCGGGCCUUGUACACACCGCCCGUCAGUCACGAAAGU
rnacentral:rRNA from 1 species